UUUAUCAAAACAAUAUUGUAAUAACCGGAUCGGACCGGAUGGUCUGACUGGUUCGAUCGCUAACCGAACUUGAAAACGACUCUGUUUUGUAGUCUUAACCGAAUGAGUAAUUGGACCGCUUUGAACCAGAAAACAUAUUAUUUCUCUUUGUCCUUAUUCUGAGAAGUAUAGGAGACUUUAUAAUCUUAGUACUUUUAAGGAGGGUCUUGUUUGUAACUUUGGGACUUGGGUGAGAGGUAAUUGGGAGUGGAAGUUCACUUGGCGUCGUCCUUUAUUUACUUGGGAGAAGGAUUUAACCAUUUCUUUUUUGCAAGAUCUUAUCCAACUGAAGUUUCAUAUCAACAAGUCAGAUACUUGGGAUUGGAUUCAUGACAAAUCCAAGCUUUACUCCGUCAAAUCCGCCUACAGACAUAUCACUCAUUCCGAUCAACUUCACAUUCUCACCGACAUUAAUCAUUGUGUCAUUUGGAAGUCAAAAGCUCCUCUAAAGGUCCUUUCUUUUGCUUGGAGGCUCUUCCAAGAUAGAAUUCCAACUUUGGACGCUCUUGUCAAGCGGGGUGUCUCUUUGAUUAAUAACAGUACUUCUAAUUGUGUUUUCUGCAAUUCUCAUCAAGAAUACGUUACUCACUUAUUUUCUUCUUGCGAUUUCUCUUAUGCUUUGUGCCAACUUAUGUACAAUUAGUUAAAUGUUAGCUUGGCCAUUCCGCUAACACCCAUUCAUCACUUUACUUCUUUCUUGGGGCUGAUUAAGAAUCGGAAAUCUUGGAAGCUUUGGAGUAUUAUCUGGUUUGCUACUAUUUGGGCCCUUUGGCUUGGGAGGAAUGACAUUGUUCUUUCAUGGCUUUGGAUCAAUGUUAACUGUGGAAAGGACAACAUUCUUUUAG